AAACAAAACCUAAAUGGCCAAAAACCUAAAACUCCCCAACGCAGCCCAGUCCUCCCUUUCCUCUCCCAUCUGAAACUUUGAACUUUGAAAUUAAAAGAUCAAAGAACCCUAGCCCCCAGCCCCACAGCCACCGAAGUCCCGCAACCCCGCAGCCCCCACAGCCCCCACAUUCCCAUUCUCCAUGGUCGUCCCCUUCCCUUCGUUGCAUGUCUCAACCUAGUCUCUCUUCAUUGCGUGUGCCAUCGCUGCUUCUUCACCCCUUGUUGUCGGUCGUCGCUACACAGCUCCUCGCUGUGGGUCGUCGCGGUUCUGCUCCUCGCCGUGCGUCAUUGUUGCUUCUCUACCUCCUCACCGGUCUUACUGGCUGGUCUUUGCUUCUCUGCUCCUCACUCGCCAUCUCUGUCCUCAUCAUCAUCGGUGUGCUAUGACUCUUGUGAGGAAGUCCUGAAAGUUUCCUGCUAUGAGGCUUUUCAUGUCAGUGUAAAGCUAUUAUUGAUAUUGGCAAAACUCUACCAUUGUUCAUGGAGCUUCAAAUUUUAGGUGACAGGAUGCGAAGAACCAUGCUCUACAAAGUGUCUUGUUUUCAAUGUUGCAGGUCUUAUUUAAUUUGAGCUGAACCGUUUGGUUAUAUUGACUGUGUGAUUUCCUCACAUGUUUGUGCUAGCUGAACAAUUUGAAACUAUAGGUACUAGAGAAAGUAAAGCUCAAAUUUUCUAGACAAAAAUUUUUAGAAUUGUAUUAAUUGACAUCAUAUUGUUAUUGAUCAUGUCCUAGAUAUUAAUUGCUAAUUUCAUUUUAUAACUAUCUUUUGAUUUUAUAGGUACUUUACAUCAACAAAGUGUUGGUGCUAAAGGUUUGAAAACUGUUUUAAAGCUUAGGAGGAAUGGCUCUGCGGCAUCUAAUAUAAAUAGUGUUGCUUCUUAUUGUGUUGCAAUAUUAUGCUUACUAUUUCAGAGUUUGUUUGUAACUCCUUUAAAGCGCAUGAGUAGCUUGUGUUUCAAUGAAAAGCUAUUUUUUCUGUCACUUUACAAGGUCUUGGUUUCUAUCUCAGAAACUGCUCCCAUCAUUUUAUACAUUAGAGAUGUUGAGAGCCUUGUUCUACAAUCAUCAAGGUUAUACAACUUGAUACAUAAUGCUUCAUUAUUUUUGAAAAUUGGUAGGCAUUUAUCCUUUUUCGUGCUCUUAUUGACGAAGAAUCUAAAUUAUAAUUAGUGUUACAUCUUGUUUCUAAUUUUUAUUUUGGUUUUUUAUAUCUUUUUUUUAUAUCUUGUUUCUUAUGUUAAACAUCUACAAGUGAUUCGUGCAAAAAUAUUCUAUCAUAAUAUGGAAACAGUUAGUAUAAAUGAUCAUAAUUAUUAUGAUUAUUUAAGUUAAUAGUGUGAGAUUAUGCAAAUUUUUUUAAUCAAUUGCUUUGUCAAGGUCUAAACUCUACUCUUCGAUUGUUACAUCGAUAGGUGGAAGCCAUCAAAAAAAUUGUUGAGUAUGUUGCUCAACUGAAAAAGAGUUGGAAAAGGACAUGGUGUGUGGCACUUAUUAGAAGCUUUUCUAUGAGAAAGGAGAUGUAUGAAUAUGAUGGAGUUUGUAAUUUGUAGUUUAUAUUUUGGACAUUUAUAAUUCCUUAUUUUUCUUGUCCUAUGCAUCUAUCUAGUUCUUUAGGAUUCUUCAAUGUGUCUUGUUAGUUUGUAAUUUAAAGUUUAUAUAUGGAAGA